rnacentral:misc_RNA from 1 species
AGCAGCCGCGGUAAUUCCAGCUCCAAUAGCGUAUAUUAAAGUUGUUGCAGUUAAAAGCUCGUAGUUGAAUUUCGGGGUUAGUAGGUUGGUCAUGCCUCUGGUAUGUACUGGUCUCACUGAUUCCUCCUUCCUGAUGAACCUUAAUGCCAUUAAUUUGGUGUUUUGGGGAAUUUGGACUGUUACUUUGAAAAAUUAGAGUGUUUAAAGCAAGCUAACGCUUGAAUACAUUAGCAUGGAAUAAUGAAAUAGGACGUUCGAUCCUAUUUUGUUGGUUUCUAGGAUUGACGUAAUGAUUAAUAGGGAUAGUUGGGGGCAUUAGUGUUCAAUUGUCAGAGGUGAAAUUCUUGGAUUUAUUGAAGACUAACUACUGCGAAAGCAUUUGCCAAGGAUGUUUUCAUUAAUCAAGAACGAAAGUUAGGGAUCGAAGACGAUCAGAUACCGUCGUAGUCUUAACCAUAAACUAUGCCGACUAGGGAUCGGAUGAUGUUAAUUUUUAAUGACUCAUUCGGCGCCUUACGGG